rnacentral:rRNA from 1 species
GAUGAACGCUAGCUACAGGCUUAACACAUGCAAGUCGAGGGACCGGCGCACGGGUGAGUAACACGUAUCCAACCUGCCCUUUACUCGGGGAUAGCCUUUCGAAAGAAAGAUUAAUACCCGAUAUAAAGGAUGGGGAUGCGUUCCAUUAGGUUGUGGGUGAGGUAACGGCUCACCAAGCCUUCGAUGGAUGGGGGUUCGGAGAGGAAGGUCCCCCACAUUGGAACUGAGGCACGGUCCAAACUCCUACGCGACGCAGCAGUGAGGAAUAUUGGUCAAUGAGCGCUAGUCUGAACCAGCCACGUAGAGUGAAGGAUGAAGGCUUAUGGGACGUAAAUUUCUGUUAUAGAAGAAGAUGUAUUAGAUGAAUAAGGAUCGGCUAACUCCGUGCCAGCAGCCGCGGUAAUUC